rnacentral:rRNA from 1 species
UACGUAGGGUGCGAGCGUUAAUCGGAAUUACUGGGCGUAAAGCGUGCGUAGGCGGUUCGCUGUGUCCGAUGUGAAAGCCCCGGGCUUAACCUGGGAAUGGCAUUGGAAACUGGCGGGCUUGAGUGCGGCAGAGGGGGGUGGAAUUCCGCGUGUAGCAGUGAAAUGCGUAGAGAUGCGGAGGAACACCGAUGGCGAAGGCAGCCCCCUGGGUCGACACUGACGCUCAGGCACGAAAGCGUGGGGAGCGAACAGG